rnacentral:rRNA from 1 species
AUGGCCGGCGGUGACCGCAUCUCUGACCUCCCUGACGACCUGCUGCACCGCAUCCUCUACUUCGCGCCUGUCAAGGAGGCCGCGUCCACCAGCGCGCUCGCGCGCCGGUGGCGCUCGCUGUGGCUCUCCUCGGGCGCCGUCAACCUCGACACGCGCUCCUACCACGUCCCCGACGAUAAUUUGUACGGCAAGCGAGCCACCUUCGUGCGCGACGCCCACGCGGCUCUCGAUGCCCGCGACCGCCAUUGCCCCCUCAGGAAGCUCACCUUCCACGUGGAAGGCCACGGAUGGGACACCAUCCAGGUAUUCCUGUGCAUCAGCGACGACGGCUUGAAGGACGACAUCGUGGGCUUCGUGCUCUCGCACCGGGCGGCCCGUUCCGUCGAGGAGCUCUGCGUCGACGCUUACGUCGGUCGCCACCCGUACGAAGAUCGGUGCGAGAGCGGAUAUUACGACCUCAGCCUCGCAUCCCUGCCGUCCAUGAAUCUCCGCCGGCUGCGCAUCUCCAGCUGCGCAAGCCUCAAGGUGCUUCCGGCCAGCGCCCCCGUCGCGUUCCCGCGGCUGGAGGAGCUGCGGCUGCACUUUUGCACCGACGUGCCGCUCCAGGAUCUCCAGAUCGUCGUCGACUCCGCCCCUCACCUCGCCGUCCUGGAGCUCCACUCCGUGUGCCUCUCGUCAUCCGAGAACGAUGUUCCUGGUGAUGCAGCCACACACGACGGUUCGCCGCCGCCGGCAAAACUCCGGUGCGCGGCCGUCACGGCCCUCGUGAUGUCGGACUGCACCUGGACGAACUGGACCGGCGUAGAGCUGGACGCGCCGAUGUUGCGAUGCUUCAAAUACAAUGGGAAUUUCCGCGAGCCGUUCGCGCUAAAACCACAAGAAGCCGCAAACCUCACGCGAGUGGACAUGGAGUACUUCUCCCCUGACAUGUAUUACUACAUAGAGAACAACACAUGCGCCUGCUUCUGGCAAUGUGCCGCGAGCUUCAGCAACGCCAGGGUCUUGAAGCUGAAAACCAACCAGCUCGAGCACCUCAGGCACGGGCCGGAGCUGAAUAAGAUGCCGUUCCGCGACCUCGAACGCCUCGAGCUGGAGGCGCAGUACAAGCCAGGACGGAGCAAGCACACCGGAGCGGCCAUCGCGCACCUCCUCCAUUGCUGCCCCGUGAUUCGUGAACUCCGGCUCAACCUGAGCACGAGCACGGCGUCGGAGAUCAAAUCCUACGGAUACGAUGGGUGCUAUGAACAAGACGUCCUCGCGGAAAAAGACCAGCUGGAUUUCAACAAGUCUGUAAAUCACUUCUUGCGUCGCAGAUUCAAGAACCCAACAAUGUCAUGCGAGGUGCCUGAUUAUAUCCAUGGCUUGACUGGACAGUCGUUCACCUGCCUGCAGACUAGCCUGAGGUGUGUGAGCUUGCGAUUCCGGAGGGACGAGUCCAACCGUUUUGGUGUGCGAUUGGCCAAAUUCUUGGCGGAGAACGCCCUGGUUCUUGAAGAGAUGCAUAUCGACGACGGCAACCAGAAAAUAUGGGAGCACAUUAAUCACGUGGUUGGCAGAUCGAUUGCUGGUUCAGCCUCAGGCUUUGUAGUCUUGCCCCUUGAAACACGAAAGUGA